AGUGAACGCUGGCGGUAGUCCUAACACAUGCAAGUCGAACGGCAGCACAGUAAGAGCUUGCUCUUACGGGUGGCGAGUGGCGGACGGGUGAGGAAUACAUCGGAAUCUACUUUUUCGUGGCGGAUAACGUAGGGAAACUUACGCUAAUACCGCAUACGACCUACGGGUGAAAGCAGGUGAUCUUCGGACCUUGCGCGAUUGAAUGAGCCGAUGUCGGAUUAGCUAGUUGGCGGGGUAAAGGCCCACCAAGGCGACGAUCCGUAGCUGGUCUGAGAGGAUGAUCAGCCACACUGGAACUGAGACACGGUCCAGACUCCUACGGGAGGCAGCAGUGGGGAAUAUUGGACAAUGGGCGCAAGCCUGAUCCAGCCAUACCGCGUGGGUGAAGAAGGCCUUCGGGUUGUAAAGCCCUUUUGUUGGGAAAGAAAAGCAGCAGGUUAAUACCCCGCUGUUCUGACGGUACCCAAAGAAUAAGCACCGGCUAACUUCGUG
rnacentral:rRNA from 1 species